rnacentral:rRNA from 1 species
UACGGGGGGGGCAAGCGUUGUUCGGAAUUACUGGGCGUAAAGGGCUCGUAGGCGGCCAACUAAGUCGGACGUGAAAUCCCUCGGCUUAACCGGGGAACUGCGUCCGAUACUGGAUGGCUUGAGUUUGGGAGAGGGAUGCGGAAUUCCAGGUGUAGCGGUGAAAUGCGUAGAUAUCAGGAGGAACACCGGUGGCGAAGGCGUUCAUCUGGCCCGAUACUGACGCUGAGGCGCGAAAGCUAGGGGAGCAAACGGG